rnacentral:rRNA from 1 species
UACGUAGGGUGCAAGCGUUAAUCGGAAUUACUGGGCGUAAAGCGUGCGUAGACGGUUAUUUAAGUCGGAUGUGAAAUCCCCGGGCUCAACCUGGGAAUUGCAUUGGAGACUGCAAGGCUAGAAUCUGGCAGAGGGGGGUAGAAUUCCACGUGUAGCAGUGAAAUGCGUAGAGAUGUGGAGGAACACCGAUGGCGAAGGCAGCCCCCUGGGUCAAGAUUGACGCUCAUGCACGAAAGCGUGGGGAGCAAACAGG